rnacentral:lncRNA from 1 species
UUUUUUUUUUUUUAGAAAUGUCAGUAACAAUCUGCUGAAAAAAUACCAGUCUAUUUUAUUUCCUCCAGAAGUGGUUCUUCAGUAUUAGUUUGGUUUUCACACAGAGAUCCCAGCACACGGCAGAGUCCUGAGCCCCAACCCAAAGAUUCUGUGGGCUUCGGAUGCUGCUCAUGUCUAUGAUCCAUCACUGCAGGCUCGCAGCCACCCCAGGGUACUCUGCAGGACAGUACCACCCAAGGAUGGUGAAGAGACUUGCAGAAUCAGAAUCCUCAAACCAGGAGGGUCUGCUCGUAUCGACCAAAACUGUGCCAGAAGCAUCCAAACCUAAGGGGACAGCACACCCACGGGCACUGGUGGGGAUGGGGUGGAAACAAGCAAAUCUCUUCCAGGCCCUGAAAAGGACAGAAGACCCCCAGCAGAACAUUCUGAAUAACAAAGCACUAGCUCACAGAAGCCAAAGCAAGGCUCCAGAAGGAGCUUUCCUACUCUCUGGGGCACUGUGGCCUGACACACAGCUCCCACCCCAACAGUGCCAGUCCUUCUUGUAGGAUUCUACUCAUCUCCGAAAGUUCAUCAGCUUUUGAAAUCACCAUUUCCCAUGGCUCGCCAGCACUCACGAUGCCCAGGGCGAGGCCCAGGAAAAGGACAGUAGCUCAGGCUGGAGCCCCGGCUGGGUGCUGGGCUAGACGUGGCCUCCAUUCGGCAGGCUGUGAAGACCACUGGGCCCAAGCCAGCAGGGGCCGCCAGGAGGCUGCAGCCGCUGGGAGCACCUUCAGCACAGCCCUGGCCACAGGACACUCCCCACACUUCAAGGUGGGCAGAGACGUUAUUUUCCCCUACCAACUACUCUGCUCAGUUUCUGUAUUUCACCAUCACUUCUGUGGUAUACCUGAUUCUCAGAGAGUCGGUCAGCUCAGGUCCUUGGGUGCCAAUCACUGAAAAGGUUAUUUUUCUUUUUCAAAUUAAAUAAUGUCACAGCAUUGGAACAUUUCUUUUUAGGGUCUUAAUAUCAACCUUCUUAUGUGUGUCACUGUGGUUUUAUAAUAAAAUAAUGAACAUUACUUUAGCAAUAAUUGGACACUUACCAGGCACCAACCGUCCUAACUUCUUUACAUGACAACUUCAUCAAAUCAUCCCAAUUAUCUAUCGCAGUGGGUCAGUGACACAAGGAAGGGCAAGCGCUCCCCAGAGACCACACAGCAGGAGGCUGAAAGCACAGGGCCAGACCCAUGCUCCACAUACUGAACACCAGGAGGGGGUGCACAUCUUUACUUACAUAAUCUAUUAAGGAAGAAGAUACCAAAUACUCUUUAUUAAAACAGUAAGCUUGUGUUCCAUGUAAUUUCCUACCGAAGCUAGUGACUGAAUGUGAUAAACUGAAAACAUGUCCCCAUGGAUGACUCUUAUUUACUUUUCAAGUUAGAUUUAAAAAUCCGACCUGUUUGGAGAAGGUAAAUGAGAAUCUUCCUCUUCCCCCAAGAGACACAGAUAAUAGUUAUAUUAAGAAUCAACAGAUUGGAUCCCUGGGUGGCUCAGCGGUUUAGCACCUGCCUUUGGCCCACCUGGAUCGAGUCCCACAUAGGGUUCCCUGCAUGGAGCCUGCUUCUCCCUCUGCCUGCCUCUCUCUCUCUCUCUCUCAGUGUGUGUGUGUGUGUGUCUUUCAUGAAUAAAUAAAUAAAAUCUUUAAAAAAAUUAAAAUAAAAUAAAAUAAAAAUCAACAGAUUAAAAAUACCUUUGUUCAUUUAAGAAAUACCUUUGUUCGGAAUAAGAACUGUUCUUGUUCCUAGAAGUUACUGAAUGUUUUAGGAAUGUUUGAUUUCAAAUUCAUAAAUGUCAUUCAUUCAUUUCAUAUUUUCCCAAACCUGAGACUAUCUCACAUUAUUAGCAUUAGUAAUACAGAAAAAGAAGCUAUUUUUAGACUGCCUUUCACAAUAGGAGAUUCUCAAUGAGAAAGGGACCUGUUGUGACCACGUAUCCUGUGGACAUGCCCUGCUGGGGCUGUGGCCACCAUGGGCCCC